CUGGUGCCCAAUGGCUGCAAACAGAAGUGUCCUGGGUCACAUCUGCAGCCUAUUGCUUGUACAGACUGCCCUAAGGAACCCUGGAGACAGCC
ensembl:snoRNA SNORA70 Small nucleolar RNA SNORA70